rnacentral:rRNA from 1 species
AGGACGAACGCUGGCGGCGUGCUUAACACAUGCAAGUGGAGCGACGAAGCGGGCUUCGGCCCGUGGCAGAGCCGCGAACGGGUGAGUAACACGUGGGUAACCUGCCCCGAUGACCGGGACAACCCGAGGAAACUCGGGCUAAUACCGGAUGCACCCCCACCACAUCAGUGAUGGGAGGAAAGGUAGCUUCGGCUUCCGCAUUGGGAUGGGCCCGCGGCCCAUUAGCUUGUUGGUGGGGUAAAGCCUACCAAGGCAUCGAUGGGUAGCUGGUCUGAGAGGACGAUCAGCCACACUGGGACUGAGACACGGCCCAGACUCCUACGGGAGGCAGCAGUGGGGAAUCUUGCGCAAUGCACGAAAGUGUGACGCAGCAACGCCGCGUGGGGGAAGAAGGCCUUCGGGUUGUAAACCCCUUUCAGGAGGGACGAAGCCUGGCUGGUGAAUAGCCAGUCCAGGUGACGGUACCUCCGACAACGAACGCCCCCGGACUAACCUACGUGCCCAAGCCAAGCCGCGGUAAAUCCUA